rnacentral:piRNA from 1 species
UGAUUCCAUGUAACUUCAAAUCCUACGAGAC